rnacentral:lncRNA from 10 species
AAAGAGUUCAGAGACCACUGCUUUAUGUGAAUUGGUGAGUCUUCUUUGUCACAUUUCACAUUCCUCUUGAAUUUGUGUCAGCAAAGUUGCAAACCUAAAGUAUGCUCGGCAUCCACAGCAUCAUCCACAGAAUCUAAUCUAUCUGCAACGCUGGCCUCCCUGCCAUGAAGCAACAGCAUAUCUCUGAGUCACUGUUGGCGUGAGCAUCUGGCUAGCACUUACUGUUUCCAAGCCAGCAUGCCUGUCUGAAAGUGAAGCUGUCUAACCAGCUUUUCAACUGACAUCGCAUGGGGAAAUAAUUUUUCAAGGCGACUCUUUACUUUUAUAACUUCCUUGGAUAGUCGUAUUGUUUGAGUGGUUAUGAAACACAGCUUGAAAAGUAUUCUUUGAUUUAAAUACUUAGAGACGUAGUGAAUGAAGCAUAACAAUUUUUAGUCAUUGCAAAAUGUUUUGCCUCCGUCAAGUAUGCUUCAUUAUUUGGAUUGUUGAAUGGUCAAUCAGUAUAAUGCUUUUGAAAGGGAAACCAUUCUCUGAAAAUCGUAAGCGUAUUUAUUAAUAGUAAUCAUUUCCUGCUUCUUGACCUUCAUGGAUGUAAAUCUAUGCUGUCUUAGGUCGUUUGAUUGUUUCACAUGUGUAAAUCUUGACUGUACAUCCAGAUUUUAAAUUCCUUAAGGACAUAUCAAGACAGCUAAGCACACAAUAAGUGUAAAACCUAAUAAAUACUGUUGCCAAAACAAAUAGAAAAUAUACAGAUACUAAAUUAUCAUUAGGUACUAAAAAUUAAUUUUUUUUUUUUUGAGACAGGGUCUCACUCUGUCGCCCAGGCUUGAAUGCAGUGACAUGAUCUCGGCUCACUGCAAACUCUGCCUCCUGGGCUCAAGAUAUUCUCCUGCCUCAGCCUCCAGAGUAGCUGGGACUACAGGCGUGUACCACCAUGUCCGGAUAAUUUUUGUAUUUUUAGUAGAGACAGGGUUUCACCAUGUUGGCCAGGCUGGUCUCGAACUCCUGACCUCAGGUGAUCCACCUGCCUCGGCCUUUCAAGGUGCUGGGAUUACAGGUCUGAGCCACCGUGCCCGGCCUAAAAAUUAAGUUUUAAAUGAUGAACAACAUUUCAGAAUUUAUUUUGGAAAAAACUAUUUAAUCCCCAAGCGAGAAGCGAGUGCAGCCUCCUUUUUAUUUAUGUUGUAGUUAAAAUUAAAUGACACAUCUUCAUGAGUAUAAUGGAAUAGUUAUUUUUAUAGGGCAUUAAAAAAAGAAUAACAUGAGUUUCUGAAGGACAUUCAAUUCCAUAAACAAAUAUACUUGUC